UACGAAGGGGGCUAGCGUUGCUCGGAAUCACUGGGCGUUAAGGGUGCGUAGGCGGGUCUUUAAGUCAGGGGUGAAAUCCUGGAGCUCAACUCCAGAACUGCCUUUGAUACUGAGGAUCUUGAGUUCGGGAGAGGUGAGUGGAACUGCGAGUGUAGAGGUGAAAUUCGUAGAUAUUCGCAAGAACACCAGUGGCGAAGGCGGCUCACUGGCCCGAUACUGACGCUGAGGCACGAAAGCGUGGGGAGCAAACAGG
rnacentral:rRNA from 1 species